AGUGAACGCUGGCGGUAGGCCUAACACAUGCAAGUCGAACGGCAGCACAGUAAGAGCUUGCUCUUACGGGUGGCGAGUGGCGGACGGGUGAGGAAUACAUCGGAAUCUACUUUUUCGUGGGGGAUAACGUAGGGAAACUUACGCUAAUACCGCAUACGACCUACGGGUGAAAGCAGGGGAUCUUCGGACCUUGCGCGAUUGAAUGAGCCGAUGUCGGAUUAGCUAGUUGGCGGGGUAAAGGCCCACCAAGGCGACGAUCCGUAGCUGGUCUGAGAGGAUGAUCAGCCACACUGGAACUGAGACACGGUCCAGACUCCUACGGGGGGCAGCAGUGGGAAUAUUGGACAAUGGGCGCAAGCCUGAUCCAGCCAUACCGCGUGGGUGAAGAAGGCCUUCGGGUUGUAAAGCCCUUUUGUUGGGAAAGAAAAGCAGCAGGUUAAUACCCCGCUGUUCUGACGGUACCCAAAGAAUAAGCACCGGCUAACUUCGUG
rnacentral:rRNA from 1 species